rnacentral:rRNA from 1 species
GACGAACGCUGGCGGCGUGCCUAACACAUGCAAGUCGAACGGAGUUAAGUCUUCGGAUUUAACUUAGUGGCGAACGGGUGAGUAACGCGUGAGGAACCUGCCUUUCAGUGGGGGACAACAGUUGGAAACGACUGCUAAUACCGCAUAACAUGUACGGAUCGCAUGGUCUGUACAUCAAAGCUUUAUGUGCUGAAAGAUGGCCUCGCGUCUGAUUAGCUAGUUGGUGAGGUAACGGCUCACCAAGGCGACGAUCAGUAGCCGGUCUGAGAGGAUGAACGGCCACAUUGGGACUGAGAUACGGCCCAGACUCCUACGGGAGGCAGCAGUCGGGAAUAUUGCGCAAUGGAGGAAACUCUGACGCAGUGACGCCGCGUGCAGGAAGAAGGUUUUCGGAUUGUAAACUGCUUUAGACAGGGAAGAAAUAAGACAGUACCUGCAAAGAAAGCUCCGGCUAACUACGUG